GGCAACGUGGCUGAGUGGUCUAUAGCGAUAGACUAGAAAUCUAUUUCCUUCGGGAGCACAGGUUCGAAUCCUGUCGUUGUCG